UGCUUACACUGUACUGUGUAGAUAUUUGCCU
rnacentral:piRNA from 1 species